GGGAGCGACAGGGCUCGUGGCGCGGCGGGACUCGGGGAGGAUGCGGGCGGGAGGUGUGCGGGAGCCAGCGGGGGGGGGGGGGGGCGGUGUUGGAGAUGCCGCCCUCGCCCCGGCCGCCAGCGCAGGCGUCCCCCCUCCUUCACUCCUGGCACCAGUAGCCGCGGGCCGCCGUCGCCCUGCGCCUCCCGCCGGCCUGUGGGGGCCGCUGCCCUCCCGCGCCGCCGGCGCGGCUGCCGCCCCCCCUCCACGCCGGCAGGGGGCGGCCGUGGCCGUGUCGGAGCGUUCCCUUCCAUGGGGUGUCUUGGAGUAAACAAAGGCAGUUGCGUGCAAAGUUGAGCUCCUUAGAACCUCUUUUUCAUGGGCAUCACACAGACUGAGCAUCACAGAGGUGUGAGUCCAAGUGUAGCAAAGAAUUUGGUAAUUAUACCAAAAAACACUGAAAAAUGCAUCAGCUGCAAUAUGAAGAAACUCAGUCACUAAAAGAAAAAGUACCUAGAAGAGAAACACAGUUGAGAAGAUUCUACUAAUAACCGGCAAAUGAAUUAAAAAUUAAAAAGAAAUAGGGAAGAUUGAGCUUUCUGGACUCCUUCAGACUAUUGAUUUAAAUUAUAAACUUUUUGUAGCUUUGAUGAUGGCAAAAAUGUGAUGCUUCAGUGAAAAUUUAUAAAUAUAGUUGUAGUAGUUAAACAUUUCCAUAAAUAUGGUAGAAUAGAGUGCUGAAAGAACAGGUGUUUUAUUGUUUUAUAGUUUUUCAUAUUUAAUAUUUUAAAGAUAGAUUCUUUUUCUGCUCUCCCUAGUUCUAGCAUUGCCCCAGUCACGUGUGUGUGCUUUUCAUGUUUUAUUGAAACAGAUGGCAUAUCUCCUUCCAGGCUUAGGCAAGGGGAGCGUAGGAAAUCUGGUAGGAUUAAAUUAUUUUGAAACAAGAAGACAUCUUUCUCAUAUCCUAUUUCUCAUACACCUGUUAGUCUUUAAAGGAGGCAGUGACAGUAAACACUCAGAAACAGGGAACGUGUUUCGGUGGUGGUGUUCUGAAAACCCUGCACUGUUCAGUUCCUAUGACUACCUGUUUUUCAAAAACAGAGUCUAAAAGUUAGCAGCUAAGCUUGACUAAGCUCAACAGUAAUACUUUUAACAACCAAAAAGGGAGCAGAUUAGGCAUUUGUUCCAGCUCUAUUAGAAAACCUCUCCCCUAAAUCCACCAAAGUCACACAAGGCUCAGUGCUUUUGCAAAUCAGGUCAUUUCUUAAAGCAUAUAAACAUGAGUUCAGAAACCUGAUUUUCAGCUUUUCAUUGUGAAAAUGUUGAACAAGCUUAAUUUCUACAGAAAUACUAGAAAGUCAGGGUUUCUAGAAUUUAAUAUAUGUAUAUGUGCUCUGGAGAAGACUUUGAAUGCUAUGAGUAAAAUGGUGGCCUUUGGUUUCUGUAUAUAUCAUACAUACAUGCAUGAAACAUUAUCCAUCGACCAUGUAGUGCAGGACGUGUGAGUGAAACAUUAGUGGCAUGUCUGGAAGUCCAGAUGAAAAAAUGGCUUGAAACAGUUAAGAGUUCCUGAUUCAAUCAGAGGUUUCAGGUAUGGUUAUGCUGCCAACAACAGUGAGUGUUCAGGCAAGCAUUUAUGCUGUUUGAUGAAUUCCCAUUCGAUCCUGCAGGAAUGUCUGUUCAAAUCCAUGUCUGAGAUACUUACAUUUCUAUCAGAGUAGUGGCAAUGAGUAUUUUUAAUGUUAACAUCUACUUUAACACUUACUAAAGUAAUACAAUAGUUGCAUAAAAUGUACAGGACAUUUAUUUGGGCCUCAGUCCUACUCUACUAGUAGUAAAACAGAUUUCCCAGCAUGAGGAAUUCUCUAUUUCUGUCAGCAUACUUGUACAAAUAGCUUAGAACUUGAUCAUGGAGUAAACCUGGUCAGGCAGGUUGUCCUCUUUCCUCAUGUGAACAUUCACCAUAGAAUUGAGAUCUUCAGAACAUGUUGUGAAAUACAUUUUUAAAAUGUAGUGAUUCUAAAGCUAAAAUUCACAUAUAGAUUUAUGAUAAUGAAAGUUCAAAACGAAGAGUAGUACCUGCAAUUUAACAUAUAGAUCAAUCUCUGACUUAUAGUGAAACUCAGAGUGAAACCUAUCCUGGUACUCAUGAGUGCCCAGCUUCUUCAUGUGACCAGGGAAAGGAUUAAAUGGGUCAGGGGUCUGAUUUAGUAAAACAAAUCCUGUUUUCCCACAGGUUUCUAAGGACCUUGUUGGUGAAUACUGGAUUGUUUUGAGAGGCAGAGCAUCAGAAAUUUGAGCUGGCAUAAUGAAAUGUGUGCAGUUCAGAGCUGUGCAUCUCUACUCCAAGUGACAUGGCUAUAUGUGGCCCAUAGCUAAUCUGUGGUGUUCCGUUAAACAACAAAAUUGGUACUGUUUUUAGUUUCAAGGCUGGCGAGCAAUCCACAAGAAACUUGAAAAGAUUCACUGAUGUUUGUCCUUUGGCUCCAGAACGUGGGGAGUUGGUUUGAAGGACUAAAGUCUUGUGUGUUUUUUUAGGGGCUUGAACAUGCUUGUGUCAGGUUACAUUUCAUAUCAGAAAUGUAAUAACCGCAAUCAAAUAUUUCUCUGGUUUUUCCAUAACCACAUUUUAAAGUUGUGCCAUAGUUUUUCUCAUAAAACAUACUUCAGAUACCAUAUUUUUGUUCGGCUUUCAACCAUUCAGCUUUCAGUGAGCAGCCACUGUUGUCAGAGUGCCAAGACAGUGUCAGUACAAAUUCACAUUUGAGGAGGCAGAAGAUCACAUAGACAUGUUAAGAUUCAUUAUUGAUCAGGACUCUGUCUCCACAAACUCAGGUUAUUAUUUUCACUGGAGUCAGGAGUCAUACUGCCUGGAUGAAGAAGUAACUUGGAUCUUAUCCAGCUAUUGAUAUUUCUAAAGUAAUGAUAUGGCUCUAAAUCUGGCUGCAAUGAUGCAUUGCCUCACCACACAGAUCUUAUUACAUGUGCCUGUCGUUAGUAAUGCUUCUGACUUUGACUUUUGAAUACCUUGAACACAGAGCCAAGUGGUUUUCGUUUUAAUAGGUUCUAUGUGCAAGACAAUCCUUUUACUCUUGUAUAGUGUUGCCAGUGGAUUGCUUACUACUGACAAUCAUGCAAGAAAGUUGCUAGAUGUGCAAAAUGUGCUGCUUGGGGGAAUUGUGCAGUACCAGAAUACUUUUAUGUAAACAGGUAAUCUGCACUGGUUUUCACCGCAAAAGUUCUGAAUUUAAUAUUAAGGUCAAAAUGACAUGUCAUCUUCCUAAAAAAUUCUGAUUUCUCAUAUUCAUAAAUAUCUCUGUAUGACUCACUCAGCAGUAUUAUGGGCUAAUAAAAAUACCUUCUGCAGCAAAGAGUAUUCCAAAGUCACUGGUCCAGAGUUGCUCUUUUCUUUUUUUAUAGCUUGUAUGAGUUGAUGGAAAUGUCACUGAGCUACAAAAUGAGUAAUGAAACCUGGAUUUGGUCUGGUGCUUUGGGCUGCUGAGGAGCAUGCCUCCCUCAGUUCACAGUGUGUGACAGCACCUGUACCACUGUGGGAAUACUUGUGUUGCCACAGAGCUCUGGCAGAGCAGACAGUGCAAAUCCACUCGCACCUCCUGCACUGUGAGGCUGAAAUGCAAACCAAGCAAGGCCAAAGUGAUGUUGUUUGGAGAACAGAGGUGGUCUGAAAGCCAGAGUAUUUUUGCCUUUUUUUACCCACAUGUGCUACCAUCAAUUCAGUGCUCAUGUGACUUCUUAGUCAGCCUAGAUAAUCAGAUGCCAGGUGAUACUCCUUUUACACUGCUGGGCAAUAUUUUAAGUAAAAGUGUGAUGGAUGAACUGUGUAUGUUUCUCCUUUCAGGUGAGAUUCUUCUCACUAAACUUAGAUACUUGCUUUACAGGUGCCUAUUCUAGGUCACAGCCAUUUCAUUUUAGUAUACAUGUCUGUGUAUAGUGUACUGUUGUAUGCUGCAGUAUACAAGUGAACUAUUGUAGAUGUCAGCAUUUACUACUGUAGGUAGUUGAUUUUUUGAAUCCCAUACUCCAAAUUUAUGCAAAAUAUGACUGCCUUUCACUUUAUUUGCUUGCUUGCUUGCUUGCUACUUUACCAUGAGUACUUUCCUUUAUUUUUGAUUCCCAUCAAUCUAUUUGUGAUGAACAAACCUGUCCAAGAGCUUGGUCUUCAAGUUCAUUAGUAAAAAGAGAAGGAUGUGAUUCUAAAACUAAUUCUCUCUUAACACUUCUCAGACUAAACUCACUUUCAGGGAUCUUGUCAAAGCCUGAUUUUGGAAGGAAUUUUUUUGACGUCACAUGAAUUCCAUUUGGGAUACGUGUGAUAAUAGGAAAAAGAAUAAUUAUUAGUAUUACAUUAUUUAAGGGUAUACCCAGGUUUUCUGCUAUAUAUGUGUCUCAAGGUUCUUGUAUAUUUUUCAUUUGUGUAUGUGUUUUGGGGCUAUUGCCUUUUGCUAUUUGCCCAGUGCUCAUGCAUAUUUCAUAAGUCAACUCGCAGAGUCAUCACUGUAAAUAUAGUAAUUUAUUCCUUUUUUAUUUUAUUUGGCAUGAGGAACAGACCUCCAAGCAUAAUUCUAGCUUUAUAUGUCUUCUUAAAUAUAUUCUAUGCAUAGUAUGGAUUCAGUAAACUCUUUGGCCUGGUUGAAAGGA